AUUGAACGCUGGCGGCAUGCCUUACACAUGCAAGUCGAACGGUAACGCGGGGCAACCUGGCGACGAGUGGCGAACGGGUGAGUAACACAUCGGAACGUGCCCAGUAGUGGGGGAUAGCCCGGCGAAAGCCGGAUUAAUACCGCAUACGACCUACGGGUGAAAGGGGGGAGUCGCAAGACCUCUCGCUAUUGGAGCGGCCGAUGUCAGAUUAGGUAGUUGGUGAGGUAAAGGCUCACCAAGCCGACGAUCUGUAGCUGGUCUGAGAGGACGACCAGCCACACUGGGACUGAGACACGGCCCAGACUCCUACGGGAGGCAG
rnacentral:rRNA from 1 species